ensembl:lncRNA
CGUUUGUUUCCAACUUUAUUCUUCGUAUUUAUGCAAUAUGUACACAUGUACACUGUUAUAAAAUCUGUAGUGCUACCAAUGUAGCAUAGAAAUGGACGAGUUUUUAUAAUUACAAUUAUCAGGCAAAAAAAACAUUUAAAAAAAAGGUGAGGAGAUGGUGUGUAAACAGAGGGCCAGAGUGCACGGACUCAAAGAUCAACUAAAGUCUAUUCAGGUUUUGAUGAUGUUGUUGACUCAGGCAUAUAGAGCAGGUAAAAUAUCCCCAAAUCCAUUAACCAGAUCCUGUAUUUUAAUCAGAAGAGUGAAAAGAGGGCAAAAACUUAAAGGCAAUAUUUAUCUGGUAAACACUUGGAAUUAUUUUUGUUUCUUUGGAAUUUCAGAAAUACCCACACUGAACAACAAAUCCUAAAAUUAGCAUUGUUUGUACUAAGAAAUCAAAGUAGGACUUAAAUGGAAUUCGUUAGAAAAGGGGUCAGGAUUAAUCCAAGAUGAAUCAUCAGGACCUACGAUUUGGUGGGAAUGUUAUAUCAAAUCCCUUUCACUUGAAACCAAUGUGAAAAAGCCUGUUCCAAUGUUAUAAAAUGUUUCUGGACCCAUACAAAGAACAGUACUGCAUGUGUUGAGAGGAAGUUACUGGAGAACUCUUUGUCUGUCUUGUAAGGCAAGACUAAGGUGCGCCUGCAAGAAGGCAUGAAUAUGUUAAAACGUAACAUCUAAAACCCGUGGAAUCAAAAAAAGAAACUAAGCAGUAAGUGAUGAACAUAAAACGAGCAGUUUGACACUUUGGGAAAUACGCUGUUAGAGUUAGAGCGAUACCACUCUCAUAUACGAAUCCCCCUCCCCCAGUAAUGCCACAACCUGUUAUUUGUAGGGUUUGUACAGAUUUCACCAACACAAAAUGGUAAUUGUUGAGCUUUUAGAGGUGCUGGUAGGUGGUUUUUACCUUCAGAGAAACUGUUCACAUGAGCUCUUUCCUCCUGUUUAUUUGUGCUAAGCUAACCUGCUGUUGGCUCUACAUUCCUACAGAUAUGAG